GCCGUGGGUCGUCUGAGUGGGCGGACGUACGCAGUCGCUCCGUCACGUUCUGACUGGUCCCGCUUGUUCGGCAUGAUAUAUGUGUGAAUUACAUGAUCAAAGGAAAUGAAAAAAAAAGAAUAUAUAUAUAUAUAUAUACAAAAGUGGACGAUAUCUCUGAAAUUGGAAUUCAUUGCGUGAACUUAUUUUUACGAGAUAUGCCCGCGAAAGUGACUCAGAGGAAGAUCAGAUAAAAAGGAGGACAUAUCGCCCCGCCGUAAUCCUGACGAGGUUCGACACCAGCGCCUCUAGCGGCAACCGGGGCACGACAACAAGAACACCUCUGUUGGGCAGCGUAAAUAUUCGGAGUGUGUGUGCGCGCGUUUGUAUGUUUGUGCUUCGUUUACGCUGUACGGAACAGAGGUGUAUCAGUGCUGAUUGCGGGACGGCAGUGUGCGUUCGUCGAAGAAGAAGUGUUUACGGUUAGUCAGUGGUUGAGUUAUUAAUGAACUAAAAAAAAAAAACCUUUAGAUUCUCCGAGAAAUAUAUUUUUUCAAAAGUCAUAUAUUGGUGUUCAAGUCCGUUAGUUGUUGAGGGAAUACCUUUUAUUCGUUUAGUAAAAAGAGAAAUGUAUUCCUAAAUAAAAAAUUAAAAAAACUUAGUAAAGGAACAAUUUAUAACAAAGCAAAAGAUAAAGGAAUAUUGAAAACGGACGUCCCUUGGUUGGAAGAAAAGGGGGAGAUUUGAGUCAAUAUAUUCGAGGGUGCAGCGAUAAGGUCAGCUUCUGAGAAAGGUCAUCUUCAACAAGUCCAGGACGUGUUUCAUCCACGACACUACCUUACUUACUUUACUCAGGGUGAUGGAGAGAGUGAGUCCUAGUGACCUGUAAUGCGAGUCCUUCAAGUCAUUUGGCUUUGAUGAAAGAAAAACAUCCUCAAGCCUGCUGCUUGAUCGAGUUUCAGUGCCGUCCAGCUGGGAACGACCCCCCCCCCCCGCCCCCCAUCUCUACCCAAACUUCAGCCCCCAGCCCCCUAGCCCUAGCCCCAGCCCCAGCCUCCAUCACCCUUCAUCCCCUCCAUCCCUUCAACUCUCCCGUCCGUCUGACCUCCUGUGGCAUCGCACUACGUAGAAAGAAAGAAAGAAAGUAAGAUCGGCUGACCAAAUAGAAAGGCUGUCAGAAGGCAUGUGACGUUCGGACGCGCCUGACCAGAAGAAAUAACAAGGAGCUCUCAUUGAUCUCCUACUACGGGGUGAGGGCUCUAACGGACUCCCCUCCCCCUCCCGCUCCCCCUCCCCCACCUCAUCUCUCUCUCUCUCUCUCUCUCUCUGCGACCCCCACCCGCCCCUCUCUCUCUCCCCCCACACCCCCUACCAGGAAGGAGAGUUGGUUUCCCACUCGACUCGAUCCCCCGGUCACUCACUCAUCCCGCGGCGUUGGAGAUUCUCCCUCACGAUUCGUUACUCAAGAAAACUCUUCCUUUUUUUUUUUUUAGAUAAGGAUUAAUCCCCCCCCCCCCCCCAAAAAAAAAAAAAAAAAAACUCAAAUGGGUGAUGAUAAAAAAAGAUAAAGAUAGAGUUGGUUGUAAGAAAUAUUAGUGAUGUGAGAAAGAUAAAAGGAAUAGAGAAUUGAUAAAGGAAGGAAAUGGGAAAACCGUUGUUCUUCUCACUGGCGAAAAGAGAGAGAGAGAAUCUGGAGACUUGAGUGGAUAAAGGACGGCUAAGGAAAACAAAGAGAGGAGAAGAGAUAUGUGUCACGUAAAGGUCACACCAGACUCCACCCACCAUUGAGCCUUGCCAACCCUAGCUGACCUUUUUUUCUUAUCCGACGUGACCUUCUGCUGAUCCCCCGCCUGGGCCCAGGGUCAUUGCUCAGAUCUCGGAAACUUUCGUGUGGGAGAAAGAGUUAAAGAAUAAAAAAAAUAAAAAAAUACAUAUAAAAGGGAGGCUGGAUGUGUUGAACUUCGAUAACCCAAACGAACAUUUAGCAAAAAUAGGAUAAUCUAAGGAAUUGAGAUAAGAAAAAGACGUAUAAUCAAAGGAACGGAGAUAAGAAAAAAAAACACGAUAAUCUAAAGGAAUUAAAAUAAGGAAAAAAAAAUAAGAAUAACUCUAUGGGCACUGAGACAAGAAAAGAACGGAAGGAAAGAGAAGAUAAAAGCGUGAGGGCGUGAGAGCCAAAGGAUGCACAGGAAGUUUACACAAGCGUCCUCCGAAACGCCAGGGUGCAGGAGAGAACCCGAUAAGAUGUGAAGUGUUCGACCCUUCUCAUCAUGGCUGGCGUGGUGGCGGUGCCUGAGUGACAGACACACCGUUCGAAUCCGGUUGUGACGUGUGGAAAGCCGUUGUGACGUCAUCGUUUGGGUGUGACGUCACAGCAGGAUGCCUCUCUUCACCGCCUGCGUGUGCAAGCGGGCGCCCAAGGGACCGAAAGUGAGCCCGCCUCUUCAUCUUCUCCUGCAGGUACGUGGUGUGUAAACAUAUGAAAGAGGAAAUACUCGUACAAAGAACCCUUAUUGGUAAGUACGAGGCAUACAUACAUAGACAAACAGGCACCUUAACAAGCUUGCAUGCAUACAUAAGCAGACAAUGGAGGCAGUAGUUG
rnacentral:lncRNA from 1 species